rnacentral:rRNA from 1 species
GACGAACGCUGGCGGCGUGCUUAAAACAUGCAAGUCGAACGGACUUCUCAUGAAGCUUGCGAUUGAGAAGUUAGUGGCGGACGGGUGAGUAACGCGUGGGCAACCUGCCCCUGAGCCCGGGAUAACAGUUCGAAAGGACUGCUAAGACCGGAUAUACUUGCGGUGAAGCAUUUCACUGCAAGGAAAGGGAACGCUCAGGGAUGGGCCCGCGUCCCAUUAGCUAGUUGGUGAGGUAACGGCCCACCAAGGCGACGAUGGGUAGCCGGCCUGAGAGGGUGAACGGCCACACUGGGACUGAGACACGGCCCAGACUCCUACGGGAGGCAGCAGUUGGGAAUCUUCGGCAAAUGGGGCGCAAGCCUGACCGAGCAACGCCGCGUGAGUGAUGAAGGUUUUCGGAUUGUAAAGCUCUGUCUUCCGGGACGAUAAAUGACGGUACCGGAGGAGGAAGCCACGGCUAACUACGUG